rnacentral:rRNA from 1 species
GAGCGGCGGACGGGUGAGUAACGCGUGGGUAACCUGCCUCAUACAGGGGGAUAACAGUUAGAAAUGGCUGCUAAUACCGCAUAAGCGCACAGGAUCGCAUGGUCUGGUGCGAAAAACUCCGGUGGUAUGAGAUGGGCCCGCGUUGGAUUAGGUAGUUGGUGGGGUAACGGCCUACCAAGCCGACGAUCCAUAGCCGGCCUGAGAGGGUGAACGGCCACAUUGGGACUGAGACACGGCCCAAACUCCUACGGGAGGCAGCAGUAGGGAAUCUUCGGCAAUGGACGAAAGUCUGACCGAGCAACGCCGCGUGAGUGAAGAAGGUUUUCGGAUCGUAAAACUCUGUUGUUAGAGAAGAACAAGGAUGAGAGUAACUGUUCAUCCCUUGACGGUAUCUAACCAGAAAGCCACGGCUAACUACGUGCCAGCAGCCGCGGUAAUACGUAGGUGGCAAGCGUUGUCCGGAUUUAUUGGGCGUAAAGCGAGCGCAGGCGGUUUCUUAAGUCUGAUGUGAAAGCCCCCGGCUCAACCGGGGAGGGUCAUUGGAAACUGGGAGACUUGAGUGCAGAAGAGGAGAGUGGAAUUCCAUGUGUAGCGGUGAAAUGCGUAGAUAUAUGGAGGAACACCAGUGGCGAAGGCGGCUCUCUGGUCUGUAAC